UAGAGGUUUUCCAACUUUUUUCUCCUGGUUAGUUUGCGUUCUUAUUAUUUAAUGGCAAAAUGUUCAAACACGAGCAAAUUUAUUUUAAUAGUGAUUUGGAGUUUCCAAUAUCUUCUAAGCUAGUUUUACUGGCUCCCCUUGAACCACUAGAAAUUCUUUAUAGCUUCUACUAGCGACAAAAAAUUGAAAAAUCUUUACGGACUUUUUGCACGGACCCUCGUACAGACGCGUUCAAUAAUUUGCGUUGAGCGCGCACAGCCGGCCGGAAAAAAUCAUUCGCAACACUGAUUGGUGGAAAAGUAUGAGGCCAUGUGCUCGGUCACAUGAGGUCCAAAGUCCUAAUUUUUUUCGCGGUGUGAACGUUUGAUCCGCAUUGCCAAACUUCGCCGAUGGUACGAAAAGCCGACAGCUACGUUCCGGAAUUUUUAAUUUUUCUGAGAUUCUGCGGGUAAAUUGGUUGUUAUGGCAUGAUAAAUGUGCGUAGAUCCAAAGGCUCUAAGUGCUAGUGGUGGCGGAAUAAGGACUGUGCCGAAUAGGAGCAGAUGUGCUCAAUUCAGAUCCAGAUUUUUCGAAAAAAUCGAUAGUUAGCCGGUUUUGUAGGCACUCGGACGUUGCACGCCUGAAAGGCCCAGAAAGAGUCUCACCAAUAGUCUCAUUUUUUAAAAGUUACAAGCCAUAAGGCUCUUACAAUUAAACUUCUGUUAAGUGAUCAAUUAACGUAUUGUUCAUUCCGAUCACUUUAAGUAGAGCCACUGCUGAACACGGGCUCUAGUCGGGUGUUGCACUCCACCAAUACUCACACAACUGGCAGGAUUCUGCAGGUUUUUAACCGUGUACUUACUUUU